GGUAACUUAGUCUUAUAAUCAUUAUUAAUGGAUCACAAAUCUAUUCAUCUAUAUUAACAUCCAAGAAGAGUUUAUUUUAUCUCCCCGUCACCCCAACUAAACAAUUUUGAGCCAAACCCCACUUCCUACCAAACGAAUUUAUCCUUAUAAAUCGUCAAGCUCUAUAGGGUCUUCUCGUCCUCCAACUUUAUUUCAGCCUUUUGACUAAAAAGUUAAAUUAUAACCCAAUCCCUGUGAGACAGUAAACACCUCGUCCAGCCAUUCAUGCCAGCCUCUAAUUAAGAGACUAAUGAUUAUGCUACCUUUGCACGGUCAAAAUACCGCGGCCCUUCAACUUUUCAGUGGGCAGGCUAGACCUCUUACAAUUACAAGAAGCGAUGUUUUUGAUAAACAGGCGAGCGUUCAUUUGCCGAAUUCCUUACAAGAACCUUUCCCAUCUUAAUCAAUCUUACACCUCACUAUAUUAAUUUCACCAUUAUUACUCAUUGUUUGCUAUUACCAAUGACACCUUGAUACAUAAAUUAAACCCAUCAAAAUUAAACCUUCCUUAAACAAACUAUAACGUUAUCAUACGAUGGCUGGUUUCAAGCCUACUCAUCUAAAUCACCUGUCUGUUAUAAAUAUGUCCCUAAGCUUAUCCUUCAAGACAUUAACAAUUAACACCUAAAUCAAUUAUAAUUAAUCAAGUUAACAUCACUAUCUGAAUUAAAUUCAUUUCUCAAAGAACUAGAAACCUUUAAAUUCGUCUAACAUUUCAUUCCUAAAGGAACAUUCACAAUAAAUUUGUAAUUUCAACUAAACUGUCCCCUUAGCCCACUUAAAAUCGAGAAAACAAAAUCUUUCACUUCAUUUAGUAAACCCUGAUACACAAGGUACAACAUUAAGUCUACUUUUCAUUAAAUUCAUUUUCACCUAUUUCACUUUCCCUUUUCAGUACUACCUUUAUCACUCAUUCUAUAAUUUCCUUACCCAAUACUCACACUCAUAUCCCUAAUAUUGAUUUACCUAUUCAACUUAAAUACACUAACCUUAUUGAUUACGUUACCUCUCAAAAUAAAUUGAAUUGCACAAUAACUUCUCAAUGUAAAUGAAAUGCUUUACUAAUCAAGCUCUA
rnacentral:rRNA from 1 species